rnacentral:lncRNA from 1 species
UUGAUUUUGUCAGCGUGGAGGCUGGUGAGUCCUGUGUGAAUGCCAGGCUCGCUUGGUAUUUUUCUGUCUGUCAACACUUUGAUAAAUUUAGAAGAAAUGGACUUAUGUUGGCACAUCUGCGAACUAGCGAAAAGAUCAAGAUUGUCACUGUGAUGGUAUCUUCACUCUACCACGUUGGAACAAAAUAGCAGCAUCGUAUUAACCAGAAGCUGCAUUUACCUGGACCAUACAUCAGCCCGAGCCUGUCUCCAGUGAAGAGUUGUGUCGUGCUGGAGGGACCAUUCAUCACACCUGCCCAGCUUCUGGAGGCUCUCCUGGGCUUUGGUGUCUUAGGAAUGCUGCUUGUUGCUGUGAUCGUAAACUCCUUCAUACCCCACAGGCUUGGGGGUUGGCUAGAAAAUAUUGGGUUAGAGCUGGGCAAAGAGGAAGCUGCUCAGGAUUGGAAGGUGGGAGAGAAGCAUCAGCCAUCACUCUCUGAGGUCGCCACAGUCAGAUGGAGUGACAGAUGAAGAGA